rnacentral:rRNA from 1 species
CGUGAUUUAGUGUGAAUUGCAGGACACAUUGAGCAUCGACGAUCUGAACGCGAAUUGCGGCCUCGGGUUAAUCCCGGGACCGCGCCCGCCUCAGGGUCG